ACAACUCUAUGUGGAGAUAUAUUUUCUGAGAUAUUCCAAAAAGGAGGGACACAACUGUACCAGAUGUUAAAAGGGCAGCUGAGUAUUAAGUGCCUAUGUAGUGUUUGCAGCUUAAUGUCCCAUGCAGAAGGGGACUCUGGGCUCUUGUGUUAGAAUUCAGUGUAAUUCUGGGGUCCUGCUUUUCUUCCAGGAAAUCCCACUUCCAUCUGGAUGUCUGGAUGAACUACUGAAAGCCACUGAGUGUCCUGCAGCAGGUGAACUGUGGCCAGAGCCCAAGGAUGAAGGGGGCUCCUUCCGUCUGUGACUGUGAAGAAGAAGCCUGAGGUAUAGCAGACCCAGGCCCCAGAAGGAUGGAAAAAAUGAGGGUUGGACCCAAGAUUCUGUACUUCUAUGGAGCCCUGUGUUCUGCCCAGGUGUCAUUUACUCUCAG